rnacentral:rRNA from 1 species
GACGAACCGUCCAAACGUUAUUCGGAAUUAUUGGGCUUAAAGGGUGCGUAGGCUGUGCAGUAAGUUGGGUGUGAAAUCCCUCGGCUCAACCGAGGAACUGCGCCGAAUACUGCUGUGCUAGAGGGAGAUAGGGGUAAGCGGAACUGAUGGUGGAGCGGUGAAAUGCGUUGAUAUCAUCAGGAACACCGGUGGCGAAGGCGGCUUACUGGAUCUCUUCUGACGCUGAUGCACGAAAGCUAGGGGAGCGAAC